rnacentral:rRNA from 1 species
GUCUAUGGCUAUGUGACCCUGAACAAGCCUGAUCCCAUCUGAUCAUGGAAGCUAAGCAGGGUCGGGCCUGGUUAAUACUUGGAUAGGAGACCACCUAGGAAGACCAGGUGCUAUAGAAG